rnacentral:rRNA from 1 species
UACGAAGGGUGCUAGCGUUGUUCGGAAUCACUGGGCGUAAAGCGCGCGUAGGCGGCUUUUCAAGUCAGGGGUGAAAUCCUUGGGCUCAACCCAAGAAUUGCCUUUGAAACUGUAAAGCUAGAGUGUCGGAGGGGAUAGCGGAAUUGCUAAUGUAGAGGUGAAAUUCGUAGAUAUUAGCAGGAACACCGGUGGCGAAGGCGGCUAUCUGGACGACAACUGACGCUGAGGCGCGAAAGCGCGGGGAUCAAACAGG